AAAGAUACCGCAUCAUAAAUUUGGUUUACUCAAUCGUUCCCUAUACUCUCUCAUCUCUCUCCUCUUUACUUAGCAUCGUCGGUUUCAGUCUUCCUCUCCGAUCUCCUCCGUGAGACUGUGAGAGGGUUUUUUUUGUGUAUUUGCUUCGAUCUUCAUCCUUAAUUUGACAGUGACUUGGGAAGAGGCUUGGUGGUGUUUCCGGUUCGAGAUCGGAGUUGGGUCUUCAGUCUGAUUCUCGGUGGUGGCUCCUUGCGGUUCUUGACUCUUGAGGGCGGAGUUGGGUUUAUGCUUCGUCAGGUGUAGUCGUCGAAGAUCUGGUUCGAGCCCGCUGUUUGGUGAUGAGCGACAUGGAUCCGGCGAAGGUGGGUGGUGGAUCUCGGUGGAGAGGAGGUUUCAAGGCGGAGGCGUGAAAUGGUUGCAUAAACUUCUCGGUACUUCAGUUAGGACUGUCAACUGGUUGGGUGCCCAUGGGUGUAGCCCAACCCAAACUGUUUUGGGUGGGUAAUGGUUAAGCCCUAAUAAUUUUUGGUCCAGUUGGGCUAGAAACCCAGUUUGCCCAUGGACAAUUUGGUCCAGCCCAGUUGGACAUUGGGUUAGCCCAAUAUAUAAUUUUUUUUUUGACUGAAAAAAAAAAACCUUUUUCAAUGUCGCCGUCGUAACAUUUUUUUUUUUGCGAUUUUGAGAUGAAAUUUUGCGAUCUCUCCUUCUGAUCUUUCCUUCUGGAUUCAUCUUCUCCGGCGUGUGACUUCUUCUUCUCGCAAUUUCAGUGACUGCUAUGAUCAGUUGCUCAAACACUGGCCAAACGUUUAUUUGGCUCUUGAAAACAACCUCGAAAUCGUUCCUGUAAGUACAGGUUCACACUUCAUCUUAUUGGCAUUUGUAUUAUCUUCUUAGGUUUCUCAAGUGAUGUAGUACGUGGUGAUAUCACUCGCAUAUUAUUUAAGACUAUUGAGCCUUGUGGGUCUUUAAGACUAUUGAGCCGUGUGGGUCUUAUUUGCCAUCCUUAAAUGACUUGUUCUACUUGUUUAUUCCACCAAGCAAGUCUCCAAACUGUCCCCUCGUUUUUCUCAUCAAGUUUAAUAAGCCGUGGGUCUAUUGACUUUUAAGUCAUGUCUCAUGUGGUUAUAGGAGCUGUUCUAUUACCUACUAAUGUUCAAGCUUUAGUGUGUACAAGGAACUGGUUAAAAGGAUUUCCUGAAAUUGUUGAUGAGUCUAUUGAGAAGACAGAAGAGGAGAAAGAAGAAGAGGAUAAAGAGAAGGAGAAAGAAGAAGAGAGUGGAGAGUCUAUAGACUUGAAUUGAGGCUGAAGAUACAAGUAGACAAGCUGGAAGAUUGCCAACAGAUCAUACAAUAUUUCUGUGAAAGAAUCAAUAAAAACAAACGUCUUUGAGACUAUUUCAA